AUUGAACGCUGGCGGCAUGCCUUACACAUGCAAGUCGAACGGUAACGGGCCUUCGGGUGCCGACGAGUGGCGAACGGGUGAGUAAUGCAUCGGAACGUACCUUUCAGUGGGGGAUAACGUAGCGAAAGUUACGCUAAUACCGCAUAUUCUGUGAGCAGGAAAGCAGGGGAUCGCAAGACCUUGCGCUGAUUGAGCGGCCGAUGUCAGAUUAGCUAGUUGGUGAGGUAAAGGCUCACCAAGGCGACGAUCUGUAGCGGGUCUGAGAGGAUGAUCCGCCACACUGGAACCGAGACACGGUCCAGACUCCUACGGGAGGCAGCAGUGGGGAAUUUUGGACAAUGGGGGCAACCCUGAUCCAGCCAUGCCGCGUGAGUGAAGAAGGCCUUCGGGUUGUAAAGCUCUUUCGGCCGGGAAGAAAUCGCAUGGGUUAAUACCCUGUGCGGAUGACGGUACCGGCAUAAGAAGCACCGGCUAACUACGUG
rnacentral:rRNA from 1 species